rnacentral:rRNA from 1 species
AACGUAGGUACCGAGCGUUAUCCGGAUUUACUGGGCGUAAAGCGUGUUCAGGCGGCCGCGCAAGUCGGGCAUGAAAUCUCUCGGCUCAACCGGGAGGGGUUGUCCGAUACUGCGUGGCUGGAGGGCAGUAGAGGGUGGUGGAAUUCCGGGUGUAGUGGUGAAAUGCGUAGAGAUCCGGAGGAACACCAGUGGCGAAAGCGGCCACCUGGACUGUACCUGACGCUCAAACACGAGAGCUAGGGGAGCGAACGGG